rnacentral:piRNA from 1 species
UGACCUAGUUCAGUUCACUUCGGAAGUGCUA